rnacentral:rRNA from 1 species
CGAAGCGCUUUAACGGAAUUCUUCGGAAGGAAGAUAAAGUGACUGAGCGGCGGACGGGUGAGUAACGCGUGGGUAACCUGCCUCAUACAGGGGGAUAACAGUUAGAAAUGGCUGCUAAUACCGCAUAAGCGCACAGGACCGCAUGGUCUGGUGUGAAAAACUCCGGUGGUAUGGGAUGGACCCGCGUUGGAUUAGCUAGUUGGUGAGGUAACGGCCUACCAAGGCGACGAUCCAUAGCCGGCCUGAGAGGGUGAACGGCCACAUUGGGACUGAGACACGGCCCAGACUCCUACGGGAGGCAGCAGUAGGGAAUAUUGCACAAUGGGGGAAACCCUGAUGCAGCGACGCCGCGUGAAGGAAGAAGUAUCUCGGUAUGUAAACUUCUAUCAGCAGGGAAGACAAUGACGGUACCUGACUAAGAAGCCCCGGCUAACUACGUGCCAGCAGCCGCGGUAAUACGUAGGGGGCAAGCGUUAUCCGGAUUUACUGGGUGUAAAGGGAGCGUAGACGGACGGGCAAGUCUGAAGUGAAAGGCAGGGGCUCAACUCCUGGACUGCUUUGGAAACUGUCCAUCUAGAGUGCCGGAGAGGUAAGCGGAAUUCCUAGUGUAGCGGUGAAAUGCGUAGAUAUUAGGAGGAACACCAGUGGCGAAGGCGGCUUACUGGACG